rnacentral:lncRNA from 1 species
UUAUUAAAGGGUAAUAUUGUAAAAGUAAGUCAAAAGAAAUAAAAAAUCACGGUAGGGGUAUCAAUACUUUAACGGUAGGAAUGUUUCGAAAAAAUUUUAAAAAUAUAAGGACUAAAUGGAUACUAAUCUUAAAAUACAUGAACUAAAUGGACUUUUACCUUUAAUAUAACUAUUGAACUUAAUUUAUUCUUACAGUUUCCUAAGAACCUUUUUUCUUGGCGAAACAAACAUUUAUGCAGUUCAAGGUUGAUCAUCUGCAAAUGUUUUUACGCAAUGCAAGCCGGGCCCUGCUUCACUCUCUUUAGGACCCUUUAACUUGAAACCACUCGUUUAUCGAAAGUACCUACCCGGAAACUUCUCUCCAAUUCUUGAUCCUUAAUUUAUUUUUACUGUUCAAUUAAAUUCUGAAAUCCUGUAUUCAGUAAACUUUCACUUGCGUGUGAACUUUUAAAAUUGAUCAGGAAAGCAAUUUUGUAGCAAUUUCUUAGAAUUUCAAUAAACAUGACAGUAAAUUGUAAACCCCAAGUGACAAUCCAUGACCAAACUCAAGCAAGAAAAUUUUUGCGGCAAAAAGAACCUUGAAUCCCGGCAUAUCGGUAUCUUUUGGGACAUCCCACCAUUCAAACUGAAGCAAGAAAAUUGAAAAUUGGUUUGUUUGUGGGGCAGCUUAUUGCAUUAUCCUUAUUUGUCUUCAUAAUUUUUAUUUGUCUUGUAGGUAGGUAGCUGUAUGACCAUCGCUUUCCCAUUUAAUAAUGAUAUUCUUUUGGGUCGUAUUUGAACCUGGAUCUAAGAUUAAGAUAUGUGCAUUAAAUAACCUCCGGAAAUCGUCUCCUUUCCAUCAUUUUAAUCUUUACUUUUUUUUUUGGGGGUCCGUACGUUCAAAGAUCUGUGAUAUUAUUUUAAUUUAUUAAGUUAAUGCGUGGCCCUGGUCCUCGUAUGGUUGAUUUAGAAAAAUAAUUGACGGUAAGUUUGACUAAAUUAGAUCAGAUGGUGAGAGUUUAAUUUUAUUUUUUUAUGUGAUUUAGAAAAAUAUCACAUGAAUACAUACAAGGGCGGAUGUAGCAUGUGACUAGUGAGGGCUUGCUCUCACAUGCAGGCAAAAAAAAAAA